rnacentral:rRNA from 1 species
UGGUCAAGUUAUUAAGGGUGCAGGGCGGAUGCCUUGGCACUAGGAGCCGAUGAAGGACGUGAUAAGCUGCGAUAAGCUUCGGGGAGUUGCACGUAAACUUUGAUCCGAAGAUUUCCGAAUGAGGAAACUCACUUAGAGUAAUGUCUAAGUAUCAUUAAGUGAAUACAUAGCUUAAUGAGGGGAACUCAGGGAACUGAAACAUCUAAGUACCUGAAGGAAGAGAAAGAAAUUCGAUUCCGUAAGUAGCGGCGAGCGAACGCGGAUUAGCCCAAACCAAUAAAGUUUUCUUUAUUGGGGUUGUGGACAUAUCAUAACGAAGAGGUAUCGUAAUUGAAGAGGUUUGGAAAGACCCACCACAGAAGGUAAUAGUCCUGUAUGUUAAACGAGAAGACUUUAGAUAUGAUCCAGAGUACCACGGGACACGUGAAACCCUGUGGGAAGCAGGAGGGACCACCCUCCAAGGCUAAAUACUACCUAGUGACCGAUAGCGUAUAGUACCGUGAGGGAAAGGUGAAAAGAACCCCGGGAGGGGAGUGAAAUAGAACCUGAAACCCUGCACUUACAAGCUGUGGAAGCACAUUUCUUGUGUGACCGCGUACUUUUUGUAGAACGGGCCAACGAGUUACGUUAAGUA